CACCACUCAAGCCUAGCUUGGUAUUGGGCGACGCAGCGAUUUACCGCGGCGUGCCUUAAAGACUCCGGCUAGUUAUUGAACUCCAAAGCGUUGUGGAACUUACUCGCUUAAGGGAGUCAACGACAUAUUGCCGUUAAAGCCUAAAUUAAA
rnacentral:misc_RNA from 1 species